AGGCUGCGUGAGGGCGGCCUGUUCCGGACGCCACGGGGAUGGGGGCCUGUCGCCCUGCCAUGGCCCUGCUUCUCCCUUCUCUGUGGCUUAUCCUCCUCGCGUCCCACCCACCGCCCGGGGCAGGAUGGACCGGAGGGACUCUGGUCUCCGUCAUCGGUAGCGGUGUAGGAUUCCUGAAGGGCCCCCAGGAAACGUGAUUGACAGAUGCAGUCCAGACGACUGGAUCAGGACCUGACCUGGGCCCAACAGAGUUCCAGAAUGUUCAGAACAGAGUAUGGAAAGGAAGAAACACCUCCGUGGGGUGGUUCUGUCACGGAGCUAGAAAACGGAGGCCCACACGCACAGGAGG